rnacentral:rRNA from 1 species
UGCAAGUCGAACGGCAGCACGGGGGCAACCCUGGUGGCGAGUGGCGAACGGGUGAGUAAUACAUCGGAACGUGUCCUGGAGUGGGGGAUAGCUCGGCGAAAGCCGGAUUAAUACCGCAUACGCUCUAUGGAGGAAAGCGGGGGAUCGCAAGACCUCGCGCUCAAGGAGCGGCCGAUGGCGGAUUAGCUAGUUGGUGGGGUAAAGGCCUACCGAGGCGACGAUCCGUAGCUGGUCUGAGAGGACGACCAGCCACACUGGGACUGAGACACGGCCCAGACUCCUACGGGAGGCAGCAGUGGGGAAUUUUGGACAAUGGGGGAAACCCUGAUCCAGCAAUGCCGCGUGUGCGAAGAAGGCCUUCGGGUUGUAAAGCACUUUUGUCCGGAAAGAAAUCCUAUUCGCUAAUACCGAGUGGGGAUGACGGUACCGGAAGAAUAAGCACCGGCUAACUACGUGCCAGCAGCCGCGGUAAUACGUAGGGUGCGAGCGUUAAUCGGAAUUACUGCGCGUAAAGCGUGCGCAGGCGG